AUGAAACAAUUUCGCAACGGCAAAAUAUUCUCAAUUGUAGAUAGAAUUUUGAUGAAAAAAACCAGUAGAUGGCAUAGCACCAUACCUACUCCUACUACGUCUCCCAUUCUCAUCUCGAAAUGCAUGGUUUUCCCGACCCAGAAGUCCAAUAUCAAAAGUCUGAAGCUCUCCGUUUCAGACAUAUCAUUAUUGGCGCGUGAAUACAGCCAAAAAGGAAUUCUGUUACCUAAUCCCCCUGGUCUCUCAUUCGAUCGUCUCCUCACCUCUCUCAAAAACGCUCUUGCCACUACUCUUGACCACUUAUACCCCCUGGCCGGCCGUCUCGCAACAACCCCCGAUGGUCGAAUGUGCAUCGCUUGCAACGAUGCAGGGGUUGAAUUCCUGGCGAUGGACAACACGAGUCUCUCAGUGGACAACAUUUUGUGUCCGGGCGAUGUCCCAGACUGCGUCAAAGACUUCUUUAGCUACGAUAAAUUCGUCAACUACGAGGGAUAUUCCAAGCCCUUAGCUGCGGUUCAGGUAACAAAGCUAGCCGACGGUGUUUUCAUCGCUUUCUGCACGAAUCACUCAGUGGCGGACGGCCUGUCGCAUUGGGGCUUCAUCAACACAUUCGCCGAGAUCAGCAGGGGGGCCCCGAUCUCCAACUCACCCGUCUUCUCCCGCGACACGCCCCUCGACCCCCGGGUCGUGCUCCCGUUCCCGCCGGGCGGACCAACCGGCAAGCACCCUUUCGGAGGCGACGCGCCGUUGAGGGAGCGGGUCUUCCAUUUCAGCAGGGACGCCAUCUUGAAACUCAAACAGAGUGCCAAAGAGGGAUAUUCCAUGAAAACGAAGGGUGGAGAGGACCGUGGUGAAAUUUCGUCCUUCCAAUCGCUCUGCGCCCUGAUGUGGCGGUCCAUCACGCGAGCUAGGCAGCAGACGGCGCUCUUCCGGAUGCUAGUGGAUUGCCGCAACAGGUUGGAACCGAGACUGGACCGGCGCUACUUCGGCAACGCGAUCAUGGGCACGGAGAUUUCCGCCUCCGCGGACGAUCUCCUCGGCAACGACCUGAGUUGGGGCGCCGGGUUGAUCCACGAAAAUGUGGCGACGUGGGACGAUUCUAAGGUGCGACGGCGGGUGGCGGAGUGGGAACGAGAGCCCAGGAUGAUCCCGUUCGACGUCGCCGAGGGGCCGACGAUCUACGUGGGGAGCUCGCCGAGGUUCCCGGUCUACGAGGCGGAUUUCGGGUGGGGGCGCCCUCUGGCAGUGAGGAGCGGGCGCAACAACAAGUUCGACGGCAAGAUCUCCGCGUUUCCGGCCAAGGAGGGCGAUGGAGGAGUCGAAUUGGAGGUGGCACUGGCGCCAGAGACGAUGACGAGGCUCGAGGCUGACUUGGAGCUCAUGCAGUACGCGUCACACAGUGGAUCCCGUCGAUAAUGAAGGUCCGACAAAAUUUGGAAACUUCAAACGCUUAUAACUCCGUUUAAAAAAAAAAAAAAAAUUCGAGGUUCUAAAAGUGGUUCCAUUGGUUUUAUCGUGAAAUUUUCUUCAAAAAGAGCCUUCUAAAAUUGAAAUUAUGACGAAUUAAACAUCAAAAUUUGCAGCUGUGGUCAACAAUUUUGAAGUCAAUAACUCAGUUUUAAAAAAAAAAAAUUCGAGGUUCUAAAAGUGGUUCCAUUGGUUUUAUCGUGAAAUUUUCUUCAAAAAGAUCCUUCUAAAAUUGAAAUUAUGACGAAUUAAACAUCAAAAUUUGCAGCUGUAGUCAAGAUUUUAUGUCCAACAUCUGUCUCUGAUGACUUGAUCCACUGUGCUGAACUCAAGGAGAAAUAGCUCAAAUUUCUACUGAUCCUACAGCCUUGUCUCCACGGACGUUUCAUGGGAUUUGCCACAACUUCGAAUCGCAGGAAUGAUACUUCCGGGCUUUUUUCCCCUUUUAACAAAACGACAAAAUUUCCUCUCCUGCCCUCUGAGUCGCUCUAAGGACUCGACAAGUAGUCAACUAGGUACUGUAAUCAAGGUAGGAUGAAGGAAACGAAAGAUGGAAAGAUUUGAAAGUUCACGAGACUGUGAAAUAUUGCAUAUUUUACGGGGGCUAGGGUAUGCAACCUGCACUCGAACACACAAAAAUGGAAGUCACUAUUUUGACAUUUUCCGAAACAUGAAGAUGAACUGGCAUUUUUCAAUAUCUUUCAUUAAUUUCUGAAAUUUCAUGAAAAAUUUCACGUGAAAUUCUGACGGUAAGUACUGUGAAUAGUAUUGACUAACUCCAUACUUUUCCUAACUUUGCUCGUGAGAUUUUUCCAUAGGGCCCCAAUAAAUCCCCAUAAAUCCCAUGAAAUGUCACACGGAGACAAGGUCUACUGGGCUACUAUCAUGCCUUAUUUAAGUACUCUGCCGCGCUCAAGAAAAACACACCAAUGAGCAUUUGAGAGUUACAAAAUUUCCUGUCAUAAAAAAUUUAUCCUGGAUGUAAGUUAUAAAGAUAUUCCCUUGAAAUUUUUGAUAUUUUAGAUUAAAUUGAGAAUAAAACUUUCUGAAAAAUUGGAGUUAGUAUUCCUAAUUUACCCAUAGAAUUUGUACUUCAUCAAACGAUAUUUGGCAAUGCCUGAAGGUCAAUAAGGCGUUUUCCUGCGUACGUCAGUAUUGUUGUCAACACUCAUAUUGAGAAUGAUC
rnacentral:lncRNA from 1 species